UUAUUUUAUUUAAAACACUAUUAUAAUAAUUACUUUAUAUUAACAUUAUGUAAACUUUUUUAUUAUUUAAUCUUUUGACUACUCGAUAAUUUCGUAAAUUUCGAAUAGAAUCUGACAAGUAAAAUUGUCAGGGGUUUCCCCAAAUAACAAACUUAAAUAAUUUUCUGAAACCAUAGCUCAUAGAUGAGCUGCUACAUUGUAAGUUGUAUUAUUAUAUUAUACACGUAUCAUAUUUUACUUUUAGCUUAAUGUUAGAAAUUCUAAGAAUUCUUUAUUACAAUCUAGCAAAUUGUGUUAGUGUUUAUUAUUAUAGGUAAUCUACUCUAAUGGUAAUGUUUUGCUUGCGAAUGAAGCAUUAAUAACAAACAUGUUGGAUGUACAAACAAAGAAAUCGAUAGUCUUGUAGACUACCAUUCUAGUCCCGUACAAGAUUAUCUUUAAUGUAUUACUAAAUCCAAAUAGUUGUUAGGUAGCAUCUUUAAAUUUAAUCAUACACCCUGAAUACAUACAGCACAUGUUUGGGCAAAGAAAAAUCAAGGGAAUCUUCACUUGUGCAGGUGUAAUUAAUAAGAGAAGCUGUUCUGGCUGCAGUCAAGGCAGUGAGGGGUCUCCUAGAUGUCGCAGGGCCCCAUGCUUAUGUUUAUGCUUGUAUGGUAUAAUAUAUAUAAUAUACAAACUAUAUGGUACCAAGAAACUCUGAAGAGUGGGAGGCAAUUGGAAAUGGCUUUAGAAAAUCUUGGAACUUUCCUGGGUGUUGUGGAGCAAUUGACGGCAAGCACGUCGUCAUUAAAGUUCCAUUUGAAGCAGGAAGCUAUUUCUAUAAUUACAAGCAACAGAAUAGUCUUGUAUUAAUGGCUUUGGUAGAUGACAACUCUUGUUUUUCAUAUAUCGAUAUCUAUGGUAUGGUAUGAUAUGGAAUGGUAGAAUAUCCGAUGGAGGAGUUUUCCGGAACUGCAACUUAAGUGAUGUUUUGGAAAAUGGCUUGCUACCAGAACAUCAUGUUAUAGUCGGAGAUGCUGCCUUCCCUCUGAAGCCUUAUUUGAUGAAGCCAUUCGGAGGACAAAAUUUAACACAAAGAGAAAAAAAAAUAAUUACCGGUUGUCUCGUGCUAGACGUAUUGUUGAAAACGCUUUCGAGAUAUUAGUUAGUAGAUUUCAAAUAUUCGGAAAACCACUGCCUUAUCGCCCAAACACUGUUGAUAAAAUUAUAAAAGCUUGUUGUGCUUUACACAACUGGCUCAGAAUCAUCAAAAGUUCGAUAUUAGAACAUACAAUGGACUUUGAAGACACUGAGAACGAAUAUUUUGUAGAAGGGAGCUGGAGACAGUUACCUUCAGAGGGACUUGUGCCAAUACCUAGACACAUGUACAACCAUUCGUCGCAAAACGCACCUCAGGUCAGAGAAAAGUUUGCAGACUAUUUUAUGGACGAAGGAUCUGUCUCCUGGCACGAAUGAUACAUUAAUUUUUAUGUAAGAAAAAAAUCAUACCAUAUUACUCUGCGUCUUUCUAUUUUCUAGGUUUACGCUUUGUAACACAUCGUGUAGUAUGUCGAACCAUUUUACAUUCGGCUUGUAUAUGGAAUCUGCUCCAGCUCCAGAUUUCAUUGAGUCGUUAAUUUUCUUUACCUCUUGUGAAUAAGUUGAUCUUAUGUUUUUAAUCUGAAAUACAAAACAAACUCUUAAUAGAAAAAUUGUUGUUAUUAUUA